GCUGGCGGCGUGCCUCAGACAUGCAAGUCGAACGAUUAAACUUUCCUUCGGGAAAGAUAUAAAGUGGCGCACGGGUGAGUAACACGUAAGUAAUCUACCUUCGAGUGGGGAAUAACGUCCGGAAACGGACGCUAAUACCGCAUAACGCAGCGGCACCUAAUGGUGACAGUUGUUAAAGGAGCAAUUCGCUUGAAGAGGAGCUUGCGGCAGAUUAGCUAGUUGGUAAGGUAAUGGCUUACCAAGGCUUCGAUCUGUAUCCGGUCUAAGAGGACGGUCGGACACACUGACACUGAAUAACGGGUCAGACUCCUACGGGAGGCAGCAGUCGGGAAUUUUGGGCAAUGGGCGAAAGCCUGACCCAGCAACGCCGCGUGAAGGAUGAAGUAUUUCGGUAUGUGAACUUCGAAAGAAUGGGAAGAACUCAAUGACGGUACCAUUUAUAAGCUCCGGCUAACUACGUGCCAGCAGCCGCGGUAAUACGUAGGGAGCAAGCGUUGUUCGGAUUUACUGGGCGUAAAGGGCGCGUAGGCGGCAAAUUAAGUCAGCUGUGAAAUCUCCGAGCUUAACUCGGAACUGUCAGCUGAUACUGAUCUGCUAGAGUGCGGAAGGGGCAAUCGGAAUUCUUGGUGUAGCGGUGAAAUGCGUAGAUAUCAAGAGGAACACCUGAGGUGA
rnacentral:rRNA from 1 species